rnacentral:rRNA from 1 species
UACGUAGGCAGCGAGCGUUGUUCGGAGUUACUGGGCGUAAAGGGUGUGUAGGCGGUUGUUUAAGUUUGGUGUGAAAUCUCCCGGCUCAACUGGGAGGGUGCGCCGAAUACUGAAUGACUCGAGUGUGGGAGGGGUGAGUGGAAUUCCUGGUGUAGCGGUGAAAUGCGUAGAUAUCAGGAGGAACACCGGUGGUGUAGACGGCUCACUGGACCAUAACUGACGCUGAGACACGAAAGCGUGGGUAGCAAACAGG